ensembl:lincRNA Gm14684 predicted gene 14684
GGAUCCCAUGGACACUCCCAGCCCCAAUGGCUACUGAUGCCUAUCUUACCCCUGGGAAGUCAAGGCAGCAAAGCAUCCAGGAAGGUUUCUGAGAAAGAUCAGAAAGUCUACAGCCUACAAGAG